rnacentral:snoRNA from 1 species
AAGACUGUACUUUCAGGGAUCAUUUCUAUAGUUUGUUACCAUAUAUUCAACUUUACCAAUGAGAUUUUUACAUCCAUAUAUUUUAUUGUUAUUGGU